AAGACUAUAGACCUGCGGAGUACCUGCGGAGGGAUCAUUAUCGAGUAUUGGGGUUCCUUUAGGGCCCCUACUCCCACACCAUGUGUACCUUACCUUACCGUUGCCUCGGCGAGCCGCCCCUGUGGCGCCGGCCCCCUCGCGGGUCCGGAGAGCGCUCGCCGGAGGACCAACCAAAACUCUUUUGUAACCGACGCAGUCUGAGUCUAAUUCUUUGAAUUAAAUUAAAACUUUCAACAACGG
rnacentral:misc_RNA from 1 species